AUUGAACGCUGGCGGCAUGCUUUACACAUGCAAGUCGAACGGUAACAGGCCUUCGGGUGCUGACGAGUGGCGAACGGGUGAGUAAUGCAUCGGAACGUACCCAGAGGUGGGGGAUAACGCAGCGAAAGCUGUGCUAAUACCGCAUGUGAUCUGAGGAUGAAAGCGGGGGACCGGGCAGCAAUGUUUGGCCUCGCGCCUUUGGAGCGGCCGAUGUCGGAUUAGCUAGUUGGUGGGGUAAAGGCCUACCAAGGCGACGAUCCGUAGCUGGUCUGAGAGGACGACCAGCCACACUGGGACUGAGACACGGCCCAGACUCCUACGGGAGGCAGCAGUGGGGAAGUUUGGACAAUGGGCGCAAGCCUGAUCCAGCAAUGCCGCGUGCGGGAAGAAGGCCUUCGGGUUGUAAACCGCUUUUGGCAGGAACGAAACGGUGUCCGCUAAUACCGGGCGCUAAUGACGGUACCUGCAGAAUAAGCACCGGCUAACUACGUG
rnacentral:rRNA from 1 species